rnacentral:sRNA from 1 species
UGAGUUAUUGAUAUUCUUUUUUUUCAUAUUAUCUUUACUUAAGCAUUGAAUGCUUAUUUUUGGAUAUUGUGGGUCCUAUAAUACACCAGACCAUUGUUUAUUGUUUAUCAUUUGUUGUUUAUUUGUAUUUUCUUUUGUAUCAUUACUUUAAAGCCAUUUUAUAUCCGCUUUUUAUAAGUGAUAGUAAUAAUUGAUGGAACAGCCAUAAAUCGUUCAUGUUAUUCAAUUAGUAAGCUUUCGCGGCUAAAAAUAUAAAGUGCCAUUGACUUUGUUUGGAAAACUCUUUUUUGAGAUCGAAAAGAUAUGAAUUAACGAUUAUUUUUCAAAAGUGGAUAUCAAAAUGGUUAUGUAAGUUUUAUUUAAUUAUGCAAUAAUAAAUUUAUUUAAA